AUACGUAGGUGGCAAGCGUUGUCCGGAAUUAUUGGGCGUAAAGCGCGCGCAGGCGGUCCUUUAAGUCUGAUGUGAAAGCCCACGGCUCAACCGUGGAGGGUCAUUGGAAACUGGGGGACUUGAGUGCAGAAGAGGAGAGUGGAAUUCCACGUGUAGCGGUGAAAUGCGUAGAGAUGUGGAGGAACACCAGUGGCGAAGGCGGCUUUCUGGACAGUAACUGACGCUGAGGCGCGAAAGCGUGGGGAGC
rnacentral:rRNA from 1 species